AUCACACUUAAAUAUGUGAUUUAAAGUAUUUUUUGCUAAGUAUUCUUUUAGGAAAUCUUGAUUUUGGUGUUAUAUCUAAGAAAUAUUUGACUAAUAUAAAGUCAUAAAACCUUUCCUGUAUGUUUUCAUCUAGAAGUUUUAUAGCUUUAAAGCUUAUAUUUUGGCACUUCCACAUCCAACAUAAAGAAAACAACAAACUCAGAAUAUAUAACACCUUUGGGGACCACUUUUGUAUAUUAUUAUACAGAUCUUAAGAGUAUAUAAUCUUUCUCUGGAGUGUGACAAACCUAAAUCACCGCUACAUCACUUUCCAGAUGUAUAACUUCCAGCAAGGUUCUCUAAUACAGUGCUGAGUCAUAAAAAGUGUUCCAUAAACAAGAGCUAUUGUGAUAACUGACAAUGAUGCUAGUGAUGAUAAUGAUGACAAAAACAAUAAGGCUCUGGAGCAUCUGGUAAAAUGCUAAGUAAUUAAUUGAAAGAAGAAUGAAAACCCAAGCUUUGUGAAGAAGGAAAUCAAGGUAGCUCCAGAGAACUGAGAGGCCGGAUCUUAGAGACCUCCCUCUAGAGCACUGCUAUUUGAAUGACUAAAAUACCAUUAAUAACUACUUUUUGCUUUCAAUUCAAAAUUCAAAAUUCUUAGAAGAGAGAAUCUGAUUGGCAUAAUCAGAUACCUAGCCCUAGAUCAGUCAUCUCUGCCCCCAAGUUAAA
rnacentral:lncRNA from 1 species